AUUAAUUUGUGUAUGUUUUAUUGACUCUCUUGGUAAGCUCGGUGACAAGAGAGAUCACUGCUGCUGAAAAACCAUCGACAGGAGAAUGUUGGAUCCCACCAGAAAAAGAUAUCCUGCAUCCAAGGGCAAAGAAGCCCCAACAAGAAGGUGGUAACUACAAGUGGAUCAAACAUGUUCUUCUCUGUAUUACCUUCACCUACUACGAAAAGACCUCUUGUUCUUCCCUUCUGGGCUGUCACAGGAAAGGGCAGAAGACAGUGAGUGAGCAUCACCCCUUUGAGGCUAUUAUAGGACUGAAGCACAACCUGAGAACCAAGGCGGAAGUGUUAUACACGUCUCUCCAGGAGUGGGAUGUAUCCUGA
rnacentral:lncRNA from 1 species